UGCAAGUAUGAGCAUGAUGACAUUGUGUC
rnacentral:piRNA from 4 species